rnacentral:rRNA from 1 species
CCUACGGUGGCUGCAGUGGGGAAUAUUGGACAAUGGGCGAAAGCCUGAUCCAGCCAUGCCGCGUGUGUGAAGAAGGCCUUCGGGUUGUAAAGCACUUUCAGUGGGGAAGAAAGCCUUGGGGCUAAUACCCUCGAGGAAGGACAUCACCCACAGAAGAAGCACCGGCUAACUCCGUGCCAGCAGCCGCGGUAAUACGGAGGGUGCGAGCGUUAAUCGGAAUUACUGGGCGUAAAGCGCGCGUAGGCGGUCUGAUAAGCCGGUUGGGAAAGCCCCGGGCUCAACCUGGGAACGGCAUCCGGAACUGUCAGGCUAGAGUGCAGGAGAGGAAGGUAGAAUUCCCGGUGUAGCGGUGAAAUGCGUAGAGAUCGGGAGGAAUACCAGUGGCGAAGGCGGCCUUCUGGACUGACACUGACGCUGAGGUGCGAAAGCGUGGGUAGCAAACAGGAUUAGAUACCCCUGUAGUC